rnacentral:misc_RNA from 1 species
AAGUCGUAACAAGGUUUCCGUAGGUGAACCUGCGGAAGGAUCAUUAACACGUAUCCAACGUUAAACCCCCCCGUGAACCUUCAGUGCGCUCGCACUUUCUUAGAAAAGCGGCCACCAAACUCGAACAACUGUUAACAAUGGAUAUCUUGGUUCUC